CGUGAUAAUGGCUGAACUCUCGCAGGAAUUAGUCCCAUGUUUCCCUAGAUCUGUGAGUAAUCCACCUCCCAAUACAGGCCCCCGUCCCUCUGCCAGAGACAAUGCACAGCUCCUGAGAUCCGUCUCUUAAGCAAGCAGCUCCGCCAGGCCUCCUGGUGCAUUUCAGUGCUGGGCUUGGGCACCUCUCCAGCCCUGGAGAGAUUUUACCAGAGAGCUACCGCACCUGCGGUGAUUGGGGCGAGUGCACUGUGCUCUCCCCAGCAUUGGCAGCCUGCACCACUCUGAAUCAUAACGGGAAGGAUGGAAAGGCCUUGCGUCAGCAGCGAGGGGUAGAGGGGCCUGCCUGCUCCUGCCCAGCUGGAAAUGGAGGAGAGCCUGUCUCAACACGUUACCCCAAAAUACUCUUCCCAGUGCCUUACAGGGAGCACUGAGUAUGAUCCAAUUGCUGCAGCUUGGCGGACCCAUCCGAUGAAGAACUGCACCUUCAGAUGUCCCCAGCCCUUUGCCAGGUUCCCAGCCAGGCUGGGCGACCGGAGCAAUGUUGGUCCUAGGACAAGCUCUGCAGCGUCCAGCGUUUGUUUCGUUUGGAGAUUUAACUGAAAGCGUCAUGUUGAUCAGAGUCAAGAGCAGUUCUAGGGCUGGAACUGACCACAUCCCCCCUCACCCACAUCCCUUCCCACUGGUCCAUCCGUCUGUCUGCAGGCCGGAGAUUCCUUACAUAAUAGCUAAUCUGUAGAGGCAGGAGUGGCAGGGGGAUCUGGGCUCCAUCUGUGCAUUGCACGAAUCUUAACUUGCCUGGGUGAUUGCAAAGAGCCUGGACAGCAGCAGCUGCUUGCAGCUAAUCUCUCGUGAGAUGGUUUGUGAUGAGGCUCUUGUGCUUGGAACAACCCCAGUCUGUCUGAUUACAGCGAGGCUCCCGAAAUCACAUUUUCAUUUGCUGUCAUUCUGCCUCAUAAUCCUCCCAUCAGACCCAGGAAGGUGCAAGCUGGUUUGCAUGAGGAAUCUGUGACGAAAGGGAAAGUUUUUAACUGGGAAGCAAAUGAGUUUUUGCACUACCACAAUGGGGAUCUUCCACCUCCCAAAAUCGGGGGGUUACUUGGCAUUUAACAGUGAUAUGGGAGCCUCCAGCUGCGCUUAGCCUAGGGCAGCUGGUGGCCCCCUGCUCCGACAGGCUGCAUGUUGAGCAAGGGCCCAUGUGGAUCCCGAGUGGGAAAAGCAGAGACAAGUUCUGGGGCAUGAUCAGCUUUGUGCUGCACAAAGCAACAGUUUGGAAGGAACCCGCUGUGUGUUGUUCACAUUUUAUAUUCACGCUGCUGACUGUAAAACUGUGUAAAAUCCCCACCAUUUUCUCAAUUUAUACACACAUACACACACUAAAUCGGUUCUUUGUAUUACACAGUUUACAAACAAACACAAUUUGUUUAUAAAAAUCAACAUAAAACAUAAGAACAUAAGAACGGCCAUACUGGCUCAGACCAAAGGUCCAUCCAGCCCAGUAUCCUGUCUGCCGACAGUGGCCAAUGCCAGGUGCCCCAGAGAGAGUUAACUUAACAGGUAAUGAUCCAGUGAUCUCUCUCCUGCCAUCCAUCUCCACCCUCUGACAAACAGAAGCUAGGGACACCAUUCUUUACCCGUCCUGGCUAAUAGCCAUUAAUAGACUUAACCUCCAUGAAUUUAUCCAGUUCUCUUUUAAACCCUUUUAUAGUCCUAGCCUUCACAAGCUCCUCAGGCAAGGAGUUCCACAGGCUGACUGUGUCCUGAGUGAAGAAGAAUGUCCUUUUAUUUGUUUUAAACUUGCUACCCAUUAAUUUCAUUUGGUGGCUCUCAGUUCUUAUAUUAUGGGAACAAGUAAAUAACUUUUCCUUAUUCACUUUCUCCACACCACUCAUGAUUUUAUAUACCUCUAUCAUAUUCCCCCUUCGUCUCCUCUUUUCCAAGAUGAAAAAUCCUGGCCUCUUUAAUCUCUCCUCAUAUGGGACCCGUUCCAAACCCCUAAUCAUUUUAGUUGCCCUUUUCUGAACCUUUUCUAACCUUAACUAAAUCCAAUUAGUUUUACAUCUUAUUCUGCCUUAUCCUUAUUUUAUGUAUGGAGAAAUUAAAGAAAAAAUAUUAACAUAGAAUAAAGAACAGAAGCAAAUUUCAGAGGAGGGAGAAAGAGUAGAGGGUGAAGCAAGCCCCCUCCCCCCCCCCCAAUUAUUUAACAGGAGCAUUCAGGUAUAUCCGGGAAAGCACCCUAUAUCUCUGAGAAGUUUUCUGGGUAUCUCUGUGACAGUAUACAGUUCUUUCUAUGGUGGCCAAGCUUAUGCUGGCUAUGUUCCUCUCUUGAAUUGUUGGGUGCUUGUUGGAUUUCCAUGUUUGUAGCACUAGGCCUUUCAGCAAUUUUUAGUGCUUUGCUGAGCCAACGUUUCCGGAAUUUAUUUAUCUUCCAAUUAACAUAGUUUAGGUUUAAAAUGACAUGUUUAGCUUGUAACACACUAUUAGUAAAAUCACCCGCAUUAGCUCCUCCUGCCCCCAUCCCCAUGAAAUACCAAAAAAUAAACCACUAACAAUUCCCACUGCCAAGCAACCGUCCAGCCCCUGCGCUGCUAUGAGCAUGAUCCUGCCUUUUAGCAUGCUCCCAAGGAAGGAGCCUCGCCUGGAAUUUUCACUGCCCCCCACUCCAGCCUGGAACAACCCUCGUUUAUUGACCUUCAAUGCAGGCUGAAGAACUCUCUCUUUGGGGUGGGCUGAGGUGUGGGAUAUGGUGCUGUCAAUCUGCAUUUGCUGAUGAGGUGGCAUCUAUGCCUAUGGACUGCAUUGUUAAUUGAUGGCAGGCGUCUAGAGCUUGGGAGAGGUGUUGUUGCUGUUUUAAAU